rnacentral:rRNA from 1 species
AUUGAACGCUGGCGGCAGGCUUAACACAUGCAAGUCGAGCGGGGUGAUGGUGCUUGCACUAUCACUUAGCGGCGGACGGGUGAGUAAUGCUUAGGAAUCUGCCUAUUAGUGGGGGACAACAUCUCGAAAGGGAUGCUAAUACCGCAUACGUCCUACGGGAGAAAGCAGGGGAUCACUUGUGACCUUGCGCUAAUAGAUGAGCCUAAGUCGGAUCAGCUAGUUGGUGGGGUAAAGGCCUACCAAGGCGACGAUCUGUAGCGGGUCUGAGAGGAUGAUCCGCAACACUGGGACUGAGACACGGCCCAGACUCCUACGGGAGGCAGCAGUGGGGAAUAUUGGACAAUGGGGGGAACCCUGAUCCAGCCAUGCCGCGUGUGUGAAGAAGGCCUUAUGGUUGUAAAGCACUUUAAGCGAGGAGGAGGCUCUUCUGGUUAAUACCCAAGAUGAGUGGACGUUACUCGCAGAAUAAGCACCGGCUAACUCUGUGCCAGCCGCCGCAGUAA